ACAGAAAUGAUCCUGAAGCUAAGGCCUCAGCCCUCAGCCUCGACUUUGAACAAUGGCACUGACACCAGAAGUGUGAAAGACAAGGGGAUGUGGCUGGAGGCUCUAUUUUUAGGAACACGGGUCUUGAGACAACAGUGCGCUGUCAUCCUGGAGCUGAGGCGGGUGACAUUGCACGUGACAUCGCAUAAACAGCACACUCUUCAUCCACAACAAUUCAAAGGUUUUGAAAACAAACUGAAAUGGCAGGAAGAAGUCUCCAGUUUUCUCUGGAAUCCUGCCUUCUCUGUUUGCAAACUUCCACAUUUUAUUCCGACAGCACAACACAUGACCCAGAAUUUGGCAAAGGACGAAAAGAAAAGCCCAGAAAAAAACAGAACAAAAAAGGACCAAGUACUGAUGACUUCAUUUUCUGAACUGAGAUCGCACUGCUGCAGUUCAGACAUGCUUGAGAGGGAGCCUGGCAUGUCUUUAACACCACAGUCAUCACAGAUCUCACCACAGUCAGGAGCUACACAGCACCUACUUGGCCUCAGCAGUGCCAAAACUGCCAUGAGCCAUGUCUUAUCAAAUUCCACCAUAUCAUUCCUGCAAACUACACAGUUCCCAAAGUGUAUAACAAAAUUAGAGAGUAUAUAGUAUAGAGAGUAAGAAACAAAAACAAUCUUACAGAAGGAAUCAAAAUGACCAGGCUUGUACAAUAACAAAGAUCAUAGGCCCAAUCACUCUUGAUUUCCAGUUUCCCAACUUUUACUCCUGAUUGAAUUUAUAUGGUAUGUCAAGUGAAAAAAAAAAAAAUCACAAUAUA